ensembl:miRNA mdo-mir-12299-2 mdo-mir-12299-2
UAAUCUAGGGGAAGGAGUGAUUGUUAAGAUCAAAUUCAACAUCAUUGCUUCCCUCUACGACU